GUCCGUAGCUCAGUGGUAGAGCAUCUCCUUCACAUGCAGAAGGUCCCAGGUUCAAACCCCUGCUUCUUCAGCU